UGGGGGAUAUUGGACAAUGGGCGAAAGCCUGAUCCAGCCAUGCCGCGUGUGUGAAGAAGGUCUUCGGAUUGUAAAGCACUCUAAGUUGGGAGGAAGGGCAUUAACCUAAUACGUUAGUGUUUUGACGUUACCGACAGAAUAAGCAACGGCUACCUCUGUGCCAGCAGCCGCGGUAAUACAGAGGGUGCAAGCGUUAAUCGGAAUUACUGGGCGUAAAGCGCGCGUAGGUGGUUUGUUAAGUUGGAUGUGAAAUCCCCGGGCUCAACCUGGGAACUGCAUUCAAAACUGACUGACUAGAGUAUGGUAGAGGGUGGUGGAAUUUCCUGUGUAGCGGUGAAAUGCGUAGAUAUAGGAAGGAACACCAGUGGCGAAGGCGACCACCUGGACUAAUACUGACACUGAGGUGCGAAAGCGUGGGGAGCAAACA
rnacentral:rRNA from 1 species